AAUAAGAGAAUGACAAAUCAGAUUUUUCCUUCUGAUUUUCAGCUUUUCUUCUUGAAAAAAAUUCAAAUCAAACUAAAAAUGUUAAAUAUUAAGGGGAAAAUUCUUAUUUGUCAUUCUCCUAUU
rfam:Gossypium raimondii Chr12_contig_826, whole genome shotgun sequence.